CAUGCAAGUCAAACGGCAGCACAGAGGAGCUUGCUCCUUGGGUGGCGAGUGGCGGACGGGUGAGGAAUACAUCGGAAUCUACUCUGUCGUGGGGGAUAACGUAGGGAAACUUACGCUAAUACCGCAUACGACCUACGGGUGAAAGCAGGGGAUCUUCGGACCUUGCGCGAUUGAAUGAGCCGAUGUCGGAUUAGCUAGUUGGCGGGGUAAAGGCCCACCAAGGCGACGAUCCGUAGCUGGUCUGAGAGGAUGAUCAGCCACACUGGAACUGAGACACGGUCCAGACUCCUACGGGAGGCAGCAGUGGGGAAUAUUGGACAAUGGGCGCAAGCCUGAUCCAGCCAUACCGCGUGGGUGAAGAAGGCCUUCGGGUUGUAAAGCCCUUUUGUUGGGAAAGAAAUCCAGCCGGCUAAUACCUGGUUGGGAUGACGGUACCCAAAGAAUAAGCACCGGCUAACUUCGUGCCAGCAGCCGA
rnacentral:rRNA from 1 species